UACAGAGGGGGCAAGCGUUGUUCGGAAUUACUGGGCGUAAAGGGCGCGUAGGCGGCCUUCUAAGUCGGACGUGAAAUCCCCGGGCUCAACCCAGGAACUGCGUCCGAUACUGGUUGGCUUGAAUCCGGGAGAGGGAUGCGGAAUUCCAGGUGUAGCGGUGAAAUGCGUAGAUAUCUGGAGGAACACCGGUGGCGAAGGCGGCAUCCUGGACCGGCAUUGACGCUGAGGCGCGAAAGCCAGGGGAGCAAACGGG
rnacentral:rRNA from 1 species